UUACAGGUACAGCUGCAGGUCUGGGAACAGGAUUUAGCUUACCGGUACAGCUGCAGGUCUGGGAACAGGAUUUAGCUUACAGGUACAGCUGCAGGUCUGGGAACAGGAUUUAGCUUACAGGUACAGCUGCAGGUCUGGGAACAGGAUUUAGCUUACAGGUACAGCUGCAGGUCUGGGAACAGGAUUUAGCUUACAGGUACAGCUGCAGGUCUGGGAACAGGAUUUAGCUUACAGGUACAGCUGCAGGUCUGGGAACAGGACUUAGCUUACAGGUACAGCUGCAGGUCUGGGAACAG